rnacentral:rRNA from 1 species
CCAGACUCCUACGGGAGGCAGCAGUGGGGAAUAUUGCACAAUGGGGGGAACCCUGAUGCAGCGACGCCGCGUGGGUGAAGAAGCGCCUCGGCGCGUAAAGCCCUGUCAGCAGGGAAGAAAAUGACGGUACCUGACUAAGAAGCCCCGGCUAACUACGUGCCAGCAGCCGCGGUAGUACGUAGGGGGCAAGCGUUAUCCGGAUUUACUGGGUGUAAAGGGAGCGUAGACGGCUAAUCAAGUCAGAAGUGAAAACCCAGGGCUCAACCUUGGGACUGCUUUUGAAACUGAGUAGCUAGAGUGCAGGAGAGGUAAGCGGAAUUCCUAGUGUAGCGGUGAAAUGCGUAGAUAUUAGGAGGAACACCAGUGGCGAAGGCGACUUUCUGGACUGUACCUGACGCUGAGGCGCGAAAGCGUGGGUAGCGAACGGGAUUAGAUACCCGCGUACC